GCCAGGCGUGGUGGCUCACGCCUGUAAUCCCAGUACUUUCGGAGGCCGAGGCGGGUGGAUCACCUGAGGUCAGGAGUUCCAGACCAGCCUGGUCAACAUGGUGAAAACCCGUCUCUA
rnacentral:sRNA from 1 species